rnacentral:lncRNA from 1 species
AUAAACAGUUUAAGUUGUUUCAAACAGUUUUCCAUGCUUCAACCACUUUUCCUUUUUUUCAAAUUGCAGGACUGCAGCCAUGUUACCAUCCAAAAGAGCAGGGUAACAAUCACGGAUUUGCGAUGAGUAAACCCCAUAUACCCAAGUCAGUGGGAGUGUGUGUGUGUGUGUGUGUGUGUGUGUGUGUGUGUGUGUAUGUGUGCGUGUGUGUAUUUUGUGUAUAUGUGAGUGAAUGUAAGUUGGUAUAUAUAUAUAUAUAUAUAUAUGUCUAUAUAUAUGUAAUUUGGUAAUAUAUAUAAUAUAAAUAUAUAUAUAUAUAUAUAUAUAUAUUCUUUACAAAUAGGUGUAUCUGACUACUUUGCAUUAUGUACCUAAAACUGUGUUUUCAUUUCAUUUUGCUUUAAUUUAAAUUUUAAUUGUUUUAUUAUUGUGAAAGGCUUAACAAUUUAGUUAUUCAUAACUUACUCUGUUUAAUGUGUAUCUCUUCUUAAAAUAAUUUGCAUAAUUGAAGAUCAUACAAUUGGUUUUAAGAAAUCAAUAGAUUACUAAGGGAAUAACAGUACUUAAUAAAUGAAUAAUUUCUUCCAAUGAGAAUAUACUUAUGAUAUAAUACUUUUGCUAUAACUCUGUGUUUUGUUUGAGUUUUUAUGCAUCUGUAGGUUGGAAAGUCUGAUCAUAUAUCCAGUACUGAGGAAGCCAGGUACAAAUGAAAGAAGAUACCUUCAUGAUUGCUGAAAAACAAUGCUCACCCUCAGUAUUUAGAGGAUACAAGUUCUUCAAGUUAAGUUUUCCUCUGUGCAGCUGUGUCUUCAUCUUUCUCAAUUAAUGAGAAGCAACAUUAGAGUUCCUUGGGGGAGACUAUGAGCAGAAAGCCGAUAUCCUCUGUACUGAGCAAUGAAUGCUGGAGAUAUAAAGAAAUUCAGGCUGUGUCUCCAUCAGAUCUGUCCAUCAUCAUUCUUUCUACAGCCUGGUGCUCUCUCACCUUUACAUUAUUUCAAGGCCACAUCUGACAACUUGACUUUGUUACUUCACAGUAGAAGGUGUCUGAGACUGUUUUUUGAUAUCAUCGUUACAUGGGAGUUGGUUGGUUAAAGGACAAGCAUCGCCCAGACGUUGAUGGAGCCAGAGGACCUAUCCUGGACAUCAUGUGCAGAGAAGAUAGAUCCCGGGAGCUGCUGGAGCCAGGAGGACCAGCCAUGAAGUGGAGAUAGAUGCAGGCAGCUGAUGGAGCAAGGAGGACCAGUCAUGAAAUGGAGAUGGAUGCAGUCAACUGAUGGAGCCAAGAGGACCAGUGAUGCAGAGAAGAUUGAUCCAAGGAGCCAAUGGAAUCUGGAGGACCAGACAGGGCCUAUGAGUCAAGGAGGCAGAUAAGACGUAUCCCAGACAGACUCCCUCUAUUGACUUAGAUCUCCAACAUGUCCUCCCACCUGUGGAUGAGAUUCAUUACACUAAGGAAGUCAGUGGUCCUGUCUUACCUUAAUAUUGUAGUUUAUUUUCUGGAUUAUACAGCUAGGGAUUUAUUAUGUUCUCAUCUGAGAAGAACCAAACAAUAAUCUAGUUGUUGUCUAAUUGACUGAGUGAUUUAGUAUUUUCAUUUUCACUUUUUUAUUACUGUUUUAGUCUAAAAUGACUCAUGUUUGUUCUCCAGUCUCCCGAGGUGCUGGGAGUGUGUGUGUGUGUGUGUGUGUGUGUGUGUGUGUGUGUGUGUGUGUGUGUGUGUGUGAUGUGAAAAUCUCAGCCUUGCUUAAGGACUGAUACUUCUCUUUUAUCUACUGAAUUCCAAUUCAGACUAUGAUACAUCUUCCAGUGAUGUUUUUUCAAACAUUUUUCUAUUUUUUGAGACAGGGUCUCUCGAGUGUAGAUCAGGCUGUCCUCAAACUCAAAGAGAUCUGCCUGCCUCUACCUCCCAAGUGCUGGGAUUACAGGUAUGCACCACCUCUGCCUGGAUUUUUAAACAUUUUUUAUUAAUUUAUUUUUUACAUUCUAAUACCAGUUCCCCCUCCCUCCUCUUCUCCCAUUCUCCCUCUUCCCCCUACCUCACCUCCCAUCUGCUCCUCAGAGAAGGUAAGUCCUCCCCUAAGAAGUCUACUAAGUCUGA